ACCACGCCGCCCGCCGGCCCAACGGUUGGAAAUUCCCGCUGCUGGGGCUACUUUCGCUCACAACUGUCUUCCGCUGAACGCGACCGCAACCGCCCACGAACCGACAUCUUUCGAUGCGAGGCUGGAGUGUAGUGGGGCGGCUUCAGUGGCGCAGAUUUCGCGAGCUGAUGAGCCAUCUGCGCGCCCGAGGCCUGACCCGAACAGCUCAGCUGGCUCUGAGUGCCUGGCGCGACAGAAACUUCGACCACAUCGGCGGGUUCGAUACCCGCACCUACGACGAUCU
rnacentral:misc_RNA from 1 species